rnacentral:rRNA from 1 species
CCUACGGGUGGCAGCAGUGAGGAAUAUUGGUCAAUGGUCGGGAGACUGAACCAGCCAAGCCGCGUGAGGGAUGAAGGUACAGAGUAUCGUAAACCUCUUUUGUCAGGGAACAAAGGCGGGGACGUGUCCCCGGCUGAGUGUACCUGAAGAAAAAGCAUCGGCUAACUCCGUGCCAGCAGCCGCGGUAAUACGGAGGAUGCGAGCGUUAUCCGGAUUUAUUGGGUUUAAAGGGUGCGCAGGCGGUCUGUUAAGUCAGCGGUCAAAGCCCGGGGCUCAACCCCGGCCCGCCGUUGAAACUGGCAGGCGCGAGUUGGAGAGAGGGAUGCGGAAUGCGCGGUGUAGCGGUGAAAUGCAUAGAUAUGGCGCAGAACUCCGAUUGCGAAGGCAGCAUGCCGGCUCCACACUGACGCUGAGGCACGAAAGCGUGGGUAUCGAACAGGAUUAGAUACCCCUGUAGUC